UACGGAGGAUGCGAGCGUUAUCCGGAUUUAUUGGGUUUAAAGGGUGCGUAGGCGGGAGAUCAAGUCAGCGGUAAAAAUGCGGGGCCCAACCCCGUCGAGCCGUUGAAACUGGUUUUCUUGAGUGGGCGAGAGGUAUGCGGAAUGCGUGGUGUAGCGGUGAAAUGCAUAGAUAUCACGAAGAACCCCGAUUGCGAAGGCAGCCUGCCGCAGCGUUACUGACGCUGAAGCUCGAAAGCGCGGGUAUCGAACAGG
rnacentral:rRNA from 1 species